GACGAACGCUUGCGGCGUGCUUAACACAUGCAAGUCGAACGGAAAGGCCCUGCUUUUGUGGGGUGCUCGAGUGGCGAACGGGUGAGUAACACGUGAGUAACCUGCCCUUGACUUUGGGAUAACUUCAGGAAACUGGGGCUAAUACCGGAUAGGAGCUCCUGCUGCAUGGUGGGGGUUGGAGAGUUUCGGCGGUUGGGGAUGGACUCGCGGCUUAUCAGCUUGUUGGUGGGGUAGUGGCUUACCAAGGCUUUGACGGGUAGCCGGCCUGAGAGGGUGACCGGCCACAUUGGGACUGAGAUACGGCCCAGACUCCUACGGGAGGCAGCAGUGGGGAAUAUUGCACAAUGGGCGGAAGCCUGAUGCAGCAACGCCGCGUGCGGGAUGACGGCCUUCGGGUUGUAAACCGCUUUCGCCUGUGACGAAGCGUGAGUGACGGUAAUGGGUAAAGAAGCACCGGCUAACUACGUGCCAGCAGCCGCGGUGAUACGUAGGGUGCGAGCGUUGUCCGGAUUUAUUGGGCGUAAAGGGCUCGUAGGUGGUUGAUCGCGUCGGAAGUGUAAUCUUGGGGCUUAACCCUGAGCGUGCUUUCGAUACGGGUUGACUUGAGGAAGGUAGGGGAGAAUGGAAUUCCUGGUGGAGCGGUGGAAUGCGCAGAUAUCAGGAGGAACACCAGUGGCGAAGGCGGUUCUCUGGGCCUUUCCUGACGCUGAGGAGCGAAAGCGUGGGGAGCGAACAGGCUUAGAUACCCUGGUAGUCCACGCUGUAAACGGUGGGUACUAGGUGUGGGGUCCAUUCCACGGGUUCCGUGCCGUAGCUAACGCUUUAAGUACCCCGCCUGGGGAGUACGGCCGCAAGGCUAAAACUCAAAGGAAUUGACGGGGCCCCGCACAAGCGGCGGAGCAUGCGGAUUAAUUCGAUGCAACGCGUAGAACCUUACCUGGGUUUGACAUGGAUCGGGAGUGCUCAGAGAUGGGUGUGCCUCUUUUGGGGUCGGUUCACAGGUGGUGCAUGGCUGUCGUCAGCUCGUGUCGUGAGAUGUUGGGUUAAGUCCCGCAACGAGCGCAACCCUUGUUCACUGUUGCCAGCACGUUAUGGUGGGGACUCAGUGGAGACCGCCGGGGUCAACUCGGAGGAAGGUGGGGAUGACGUCAAGUCAUCAUGCCCCUUAUGUCCAGGGCUUCACGCAUGCUACAAUGGCUGGUACAGAGAGUGGCGAGCCUGUGAGGGUGAGCGAAUCUCGGAAAGCCGGUCUCAGUUCGGAUUGGGGUCUGCAACUCGACCUCAUGAAGUCGGAGUCGCUAGUAAUCGCAGAUCAGCAACGCUGCGGUGAAUACGUUCCCGGGGCU
rnacentral:rRNA from 1 species